ACAGAGGGUUAAGGACCCACAGCAACGGUCCAACACCUCAUCUUCCUCCAACGGAAACAAUUGUCUUCCCUCUUUCAUUUCCACCCGCCCUCACCAAGACCUCAACCCAACCGUUUCAUCUCCACCACCGUUACAUUACUAUAUAAAGCCAAAUUAAACAAUCUUCUGUAACAAACGCACUACACUUUAUGCUUUCUUUAAUACAAUGAUGAUGACUCACUUUAAAAGUCUAUUAUAUUCCGAGUUUGAUUUUUGAAAGAACCAAAGCUGCUUUUAAGAACUGUUUUUUCAUACAUUGAGAAGCAAGAUUCCCAAAUUGAAUACAACAUUAAGAUGAUACCAAGAAAAAGAAGAGAAGCAAUUAUGCAAGAGAUGCUAUGCUAUGGCUCUCUAGUUCUUUGAUUUUAUUUACAAGCAGCAUGUGGAUCAAUCCAACUUUAUUCUACGCCGAAGUUUUAUUAAGAAUGCUUCAGUUUGCUGCUCAGGAUGCUAAGGCCUAAGGUUGCAUACACCAGAGAAACUAGCCUACGCCGAGAUAGUGACAAACGGAUUUUAUUUACAAGUAGCUUGUGAAUCAACCCAACUUUAAUCUACGCCGAGAUUUUAUUAAGAAUACUUCAGUUUGCUGCUCAGGAUGAUAAGGCCUAAGGUUGCAUACACCAGAGAUACUAGUCUACUCUGCUAAUGUGGCACAAAAAGGGAAGUUGCAUGCUAGGAGAUAACUAUAAUGAGGUACUUUAAUCAUGUCAAGUGUAGUGAAUCUGAAAUACGAAGUAUCAUGAAAAAGGAAACUGAAAUUCUGGACUAAAAUGAAAAUAUCAUAACAUUUAACUCUGAACAACAAGUAGCUUAAAGAAGCUACUGAUAGAAAGUAGUACAACUUAUAUAGAACCUCAUUUUUUAUGUUACAAGCAAAGGAUGAGAAGUUGUGGGAAUCAAGUAAAGAUCACCUUUUCUUGACAUAGUAGCUCCAAACUCUUCUUUCAACUCUAAUUCCUCAUUUUUCAUUCCAUUAGGAAGCCUCCAAUCAAAAUGAUACAAUAAAAGUGCAAGGACAUGUUCGACACUUACCAUACCAUAAUUCAUACCUGGACAAAUUCUCCUUCCAGCACCAAAUGGAAUGUACUCAAAAUGAGUUCCUCUGUAAUCAAUAGAGCUAUCAAUAAACCUUUCAGGAUAAAACUUAUCUGGGUCAGUCCAAUAUUUCGGAUCCCUUCCAAUGGCCCAAGCAUUUACUAGGACUCUACUUUUGACAGGUAUGUGAUAGCCAUUGAUCUCACAAACUUGUCCACACUCCCUUGGAACAAGGAGAGGAACAGUAGGGUGUAAUCUUAGUGACUCUUUCGUUAUGGCUUUCAAAUAUUUGAACUCAUCAAUUGCAGCUUCAUCAACCAUUCCUCUUCUUUUGAACCCCUCCCUCACUUCAGCUUGUGCUUUCUUAAAAACUCUUGGAUCUUUUAUCAUCUCAGCCAUUGCCCAAUUAAUCGUAGUUGAUGCAGUCUCACUUCCCGCAGAGAAGACAUCCUGAAAAUUUAAAAACUUCGUCAUUUAACUUACUUCAAACUUGAAAGACCUAUAUCAUAUAUUAAAAUUUGGUUGCCAGUAACUUCAUGUUGGGGGUGAAAUUGCAGAUGCGGACCGAAAUUUAAAACCAUGCAUGUUAUUUAUUGGGGGUGGGGGAUAACCUUGAUAAAAUAGCAUACCAAUAUUACUUGCAUGCAUGGUAUCUCAAUUUAUCUAAAGAAACAUAAAUUGCAUACCAAUAUUAUGGCCUUAAUAUUAUCAGAAGUUAAAUGAAAAUCCAUGUCACUGUCAUUGUCCUCAAAUUUUAAAAGACAAUCAAUCAGAUCUUCCUCUGCUUCAGCCAAACCUUGUUUAGUUCUUCUUGAUCUCAUCUCCUUAUGGUCAUUGAUGAUAUGUUCUAGUAUCCUAUCUACUUGUUGGCUUAACUUCUCAAGCUUAGGCCUCAUUCCAGAGAGAUUUUGAAUCCAUUUAGCUGAAGGAAACAAGUCACCAAUGUAGAACCCUCCAGCAAGUUUUAUAAGUUUCUUUAUAACUGAUAUGAAAUCUUUUGGUUCCAAAUAUUUCUUACCAAACGCCGCCUUUGAAGUGAAUGUAUACAUCAUUGAAAUAAGUUCUUGAGUAAGAUUGAUUUCUGAUCCUUCAUUUGAGGCAAUCUUUUUUAACAUAGAACUAAUCUCAUUCUCUCUUAUUGGCCAAAGUGAUUUGACCCUUUUUGAGCUCAAAAGCUCAAUAGAACAAAUCUUUCUAAGUUGUCUCCAGUAAUCACCAUAAGGUGAAAAAGCUAUAUCUGUUGAAUUAUAACAUGUUAUCUCCCCUACUAGAAGAUGAGGCCUUGAUGCAAAGAUAGUGUCAUGGGUUUUCAGAACUUCUCUAGCAACUUCUGGUGAGGAAACAACAACAAAGAAGACCUCACCAAGUUGUAGAUGCAUCAAGGGUCCAUAUAUUUUGGAUAAAUCUCUUAAUUUUUUAGGUGGGUUUGUUGUAACAAGAUUCAGAAUAUUUCCUAUAAUGGGUAGUUUACAUGGACCUGGGGGUAUAUUUUUUGUACUUGAAUUAUAUUUUUUGUUAUGAUUCCUAAUUUUUAGUGCAA